rnacentral:rRNA from 1 species
UGUGAAAUCCCGGGGCUUAACCGCGGAUCUGCCUUUGAUACUGGAUGGCUUGAGUAUGGGAGAGGGAAGUGGAAUUCCUGGUGUAGAGGUGAAAUUCGUAGAUAUCAGGAGGAACACCGGUGGCGAAGGCGACUUCCUGGACCAAUACUGACGCUGAGGCGCGAAAGCGUGGGGAGCAAACAGGAUUAGAUACCCUGGUAGUCCACGCAGUAAACGUUGAUCACUAGGUGUAGCGGGAAUCGACCCCUUCUGUGUCGAAGCUAACGCGUUAAGUACCCCCCCUGGGGACUACGGCCGCAAGGUUAAAACUCAAAGGAAUUGACGG